ACCCACCCGGGAGCGGGGAACAGCGGCCAGGACCCUGCCUGGGACCGCCGGGUCACGGUUCUGCCCGCACACCCAGCCAUCGGAGGGGAAACUGAGGCACAAACGAGCUAUUGCACCGCAAGGCAGCCCCGUUCCCAGCAAACGGCUGUUCUUGGCAAGAGGACACCAGGCAUGCAAAGCCUCCACCAGCCACUGAACCCAGUUACCCACCCAACAGCAGCAGCAGCUCUGGCAUGGGGAAACUGAGGCACGCCCAGCAUGCUGCAGCUUUGAAGCCUUCAGGAAGCAGGUGACAGUGCGUGACUGUGAGCUGCCCCUGGCUAGGGAGAGAUUCAGUCAGAUGAACUGGGUCAAUAAGCCAGGUCCUCCCUGCCCCACUGCUUCCUCACCAGAGCCUUGGGAAUGGACUUGGGUUUGGUUUGCAGUGAGCCGUGGUUCUCAUUGCUCCAAACCCCAGUGUGUGCCAGGGCUGCCAAGACCCACUCUGAAAUGCUUCUUGACCAUAGGGAUGUCCCAGAACCACAGAGUGGUGUGGAUUGUGGAGUGUUACCCUGAAGGCACAGGCAACCUGCAGGGAUUGCUGAAAAACCUAAGCCCCAGGAGCAGGAUCUCUGAGAAGGUGUGGGGAGCCUCAUGACAAGCCCAGCAGCUGUGUUGUUGCCACCAGUCACACAUUUCAGACCCCCAGAAGAUGCCAAUGCCUCUGCAGGACCAGCAACACCACCACAGUGCUGCCAAGGAUGCCUAGGAGAAGCCUUCCCAAAUUUAUGACUUGAAAUCCCUCCUCCAGCAGAGAGAUGACACCCAGGAGGUGUUGGGUGAAAAAAAUCUUAACACCUGAAGGUUUUCAACCUCUCACAGGACACCAGAACUGUACCACCAGAGGAAACAGCAUGGCAUACCUGGUUGCAAUGAAAUGAAAUGAAUACAGCUCUGCCCCAUAAAAUUGACCAAACAGAACCCAAAAUGGUACCAGGAGGCUGAGAAUUGGGAGCCAAGCACCGACCACUACCAAAAAUGUG